rnacentral:rRNA from 1 species
CACGGGUGAGUAACGCGUAUGCGACCUGCCCGUUACAGGGGGAUAAUCCGGAGAAAUCCGGUCUAAUACCGCAUAAUAUCGUGAAGCUGCAUGGUUUUGCGAUUAAAGGAGCGAUCCGGUGACGGAUGGGCAUGCGUGACAUUAGCUAGUCGGCGGGGUAACGGCCCACCGAGGCGACGAUGUCUAGGGGUUCUGAGAGGAAGGUCCCCCACACUGGUACUGAGACACGGACCACACUUAUACGGGAGGCAGCAGUGAGGAAUAUUGGUCAAUGGGCGAGAGCCUGAACCAGCCAAGUCGCGUGAAGGAUGACGGCCCUACGGGUUGUAAACUUCUUUUGUCAGGGAGCAAUUGAGUCCACGUGUGGGCUUACCGAGAGUACCUGAAGAAAAAGCAUCGGCUAACUCCGUGCCAGCAGCCGCGGUAAUACGGAGGAUGCGAGCGUUAUCCGGAUUUAUUGGGUUUAAAGGGAGCGUAGACGGCACUGCAAGUCCGGAGUGAAAGCCCAAGGCUUAACCAUGGGACUGCUCUGGAAACUGUGGAGCUUGAGUGCGGGAGGGGCAGGCGGAAUUCCUAGUGUAGCGGUGAAAUGCGUAGAUAUUAGGAGGAACACCGGCGG